CUUGCACCCAUUUGCCACAGCAGAUGCCCCCGAUUUUUGGUAUGUCGUGUAGUGAGCAUCAGCCAAAAUAGGGAAGCAACUUUAGCAACUCCUGAAUGUAAUAUCUUGCACAUGUAGCGCUGUCAAUUGUGCUGCUGUGAAGAAGGUAAGCAGCACCAAGUUCCUGGGUGUGCACAUCUCAGAAGAUCUCUCCUGGUCAAAACACACAGCAUCGCUGGUCAGUAAAGCCCAACAGCGACUCUACUUCCUCCACAAACUGAGGAGAGCACGAGCCUCAACCCCCACUAUGAGCACUGUUGAGAGUAUCCACACCAGCUGCAUCACUAUGUGGUAUGUCUCCUGCCAUAGUUACAACGGGUAGUAAGAGCAGCGGACAGGAUCGUAGGUACCUCUCUUUCCUCUCUCCAGGACAUCUACAGGUGACUGCACUCAUCCAUCCAAAAGCUUCUUCAGUUUGCUGAGGAAGGAGACUGAAGAGCCUCCAGGCCAGAACCAGCAGGCUGAGACAGCUUCGUCCACCAGGCUGUCAGGAUGCUGAAUUCACUCCCUGCUCUCACACACACACAAACUCCAGACCUGCAUUCACUUCUUCCCUCUGAACCCCCCAAACAUACAAAACUCUGAACCGCCUCCAUUGCCUUUUCACUGACUGCCCCACCCCACUCGCACACGAACUUGCACACAAUCACUAUGAUUGUGUUGGACACUGCUGUUUAUAUAAGAUUGUAUAGUAUUGUAUUGUGUUGUACAGAAGACUCCCAUUUUAUUUUUAUCUUUAUAUUGUUUUAGUGUACACUGAGGGCCAUGGGAGCAUUGCAGUUUCAGAUUCCUGUGUAUGACUGUACAUAUGGUCUUUGACAAUAAAGCUAACUUUGACUUUGACUUUGAUGUCUCUGAUUUGAGCAGGUGGUGUUCAACUGAAUCUCCCCAGAAAAUCAAAUGAUGUACAAAUGCUUCCUUUUAUGUCAGCACGCACAAAGUCUGAAGCAAAGCCUCCAAAACUGUUUUAUAUAUUUUUAUGCAGAUGACACAAUUUUAUAUGCUCUUCCUUUGAUUUGGAUAUUGCAAAUCUAGAACCUACUUUUUUUACACAGUUUUUCUUAAUUUGAUUGUGUGGAAUACUUCAUUUUAUUAUAUAGCUGUCUAUCUUGAGAAAGAGAUCUCAAAACCAGUGACAAUACCUGUUUAAAUAAAGUAUUUAAUAAGAAUUCGUUUUUGUAUCUGAUGCCAUUGAAACCUACUGUAUGGUUUGUAUUUUAUUCUACAGAAAGUGAUCUCUGCCACCUCCAUAAAGCUAAAGAAUUUGGGUGGUAGCUGCUGUUCUUUUGCUGUUGUUGUCUGCUUAAAUGUCUGUGAUAUUACGUCUGUAUGUGCAAUAUGAGGUUUC